GACGAACGCUGGCGGCGUGCUUAACACAUGCAAGUCGAACGGAAAGGCCCUGCUUUUGUGGGGUGCUCGAGUGGCGAACGGGUGAGUAACACGUGAGUGACCUGCCCUUGACUUUGGGAUAACUUCAGGAAACUGGGGCUAAUACCGGAUAGGAGCUCCUGCUGCAUGGUGGGGGUUGGAAAGUUUCGGCGGUUGGGGAUGGACUCGCGGCUUAUCAGCUUGUUGGUGGGGUAGUGGCUUACCAAGGCUGUGACGGGUAGCCGGCCUGAGAGGGUGACCGGCCACAUUGGGACUGAGAUACGGCCCAGAGUCCUACGGGAGGCAGCAGUGGGGAAUAUUGCACAAUGGGCGGAAGCCUGAUGCAGAAACACCGCGUGCGGGAUGACGGCCUUCGGGUUGUAAACCGCUUUCGCCUGUGACGAAGCGUGAGUGACGGUAAUGGGUAAAGAAGCACCGGCUAACUACGUG
rnacentral:rRNA from 1 species